rnacentral:ribozyme from 1 species
UGCCCAGCAACUUCUACCCCCUACCUCCUCGUAGUACUGGCCGGGGUACGAGUAACCUUAGGGAAGAUCGGGUAACCAACCCUGGUGCGAACUUUGGUCGUAUGCUGACAGAGAAAGG